UAUCUUUGGCCCGCGACUGGUGCUCGCGCGUUCGAACGCAACGCGCAGUUAAACGGGAAACAGGAAGCCGUGAGUUCUAUGAUCGAACGAAGCGUGCCAGCCUGUGCUGUCCCCGCAACGGUACGCGACCGGCGGCAUUGCAUGCGUGCAAUGCCGCACAUCGUGCGAACACGCCACUGCCGCUCGCGGCGGGAAGGCCGCGCGAUGAGGUCGCAAGCCCGGAUACCGGCCAGCGCAGGGGACGAAGC
rnacentral:ncRNA from 2 species